rnacentral:rRNA from 1 species
UGCCAGCAGCCGCGGUAAGACGAGCUCUCCAAACGUUAUUCGGUAUCACUGGGCUUAAAGAGUUCGUAGGCGGCUUUGUAGGUGGGGUGUGAAAGCCCUCGGCUCAACCGAGGAACUGCGCCCCAAACCACAGGGCUUGAGGGAGAUAGGGGUAAUGCGGAACAGAUGGUGGAGCGGUGAAAUGCAUUGAUAUCAUCUGGAACACCGGUGGCUGAAGGCGGCUUACUGGAUCUUUUCUGACGCUGAGGAACGAAAGCUAGGGU